GACGACUGGGGUAACUUAGCGGAAGCUGAGGAGGAACAGUCCCGCAGACUGGCCACGCUUAAGGAAUACUGUAAGAAAAAUAUCUCAACGGGUGACCCAAGGAGAGUCAGUGUUCAGAGCCACCUAUUGUUUUAUGAUAACAUUAAAACAAUCUACUGCUAUAUUCCUAAGGUUGCAUGCAAAACAAUGAAACUAUUAUUUUACAAUCUAGAGUACAAUAAAACCGAAAGGUUGAUUAGUGUUGGUACUGCCGAUUUCAAAGGAAAGGAAAAAGAUUAUAUCGCUCCUAACGCGCACAAGAGUGGUUGGAUCCACGGACGAGGGCAUAAAAAAAUGAAGCACUACAGUGAGGAAGAGUUAAGUCUGCGUCUUGCGACCUACAGGAAGAUCAUCGUUGUUCGUGACCCGUUUGAAAGGUUGGCAUCUGCGUGGCUUAACAAAUUUGUCAACAUGCCAGC